rnacentral:tRNA from 1 species
CGCGUGCCUGCGCGACGUGGAGAUGGGCUUCCGGCUGCUGCCCGGGGACAACACCAACCGGUUCGUCUCGUCGUCCGAGGACGUCGGCGCGCGG